GAUCGGAACGAGAACCGCUGCCGGACGUACCGGACGUUCUUGCGCGAUGAUCUGCAGCAUCGCGUCGGUGCCGAAAUCGCCGGUCGGCGCGAGCACCGCGGCAUCGGUCAGUCCCGGCGGCACGUCGAAGUUCAGCCGCUCGUGCGCCCUGCGAAAGAAUUCGCCGGAGCUCAUGUCGAGCGGAGCCGCAGUGCUGGCGGAUGCAGCGUCCU
rnacentral:misc_RNA from 1 species